rnacentral:SRP_RNA from 1 species
UUGCUGUAGUGGCAUUUUAGUGGGAUUGUUAGCGUUCUUUUAAUUUGGCAUUUGCUGUUUUAAUUCAGAUGACAGUGUCCUGGUUCGAUUUUCGCGGAAUUUUGGGCCCGCUGGCCACGAGUAGUCUGGCCCAGUUUGGCUCAGGUAAUGGCUAACUGCACCGCUGAAGGGGAGAAAUCCAGCACAGCACAGUUACCCGUGAGAAGGCGAUCAGGAUGGCACUUCUCUGGCUAAAAAAUGGUUGUGUCAGAUUAGUUAAUUAAACCAUAUUU